rnacentral:miRNA from 14 species
CUCUGCAAGAGUAGCAAGUGCUCAUGACCACUGAGCCAUCUUUCCAGCCUUCAUAUUUUUAUUUUUUAAACAAGAAGUACAAAAAUGAGGCUGGGGAGAGGGUUCAGAGUGUAGAUUGCUCUUCUAAAGGACCACAGUU